rnacentral:rRNA from 1 species
GUGGGGAAUCUUCCGCAAUGGACGAAAGUCUGACGGAGCGACGCCGCGUGAGUGAAGAAGGCCUUCGGGUCGUAAAGCUCUGUCAUCAGGGACGAAUGGCCGGUGGAGUGGAAAGCCACCGGAUUGACGGUACCUGAGAAGGAAGCCACGGCUAACUACGUGCCAGCAGCCGCGGUAAUACGUAGGUGGCAAGCGUUGUCCGGAAUUAUUGGGCGUAAAGCGCGCGCAGGUGGGAUCUUAAGUCCAUUUUGAAAGUUCGGAGCUCAACUCCGUGAUGGGAUGGAAACUGGGAUUCUUGAGUACCGGAGAGGAAAGCGGAAUUCCCCGUGUAGCGGUGAAAUGCGUAGAUAUGGGGAGGAACACCAGUGGCGAAGGCGGCUUUCUGGACGGUGUCUGACACUGAGGCGCGAAAGCCAGGGGAGCGAACGGGAUUAGAUACCCUGGUAGUCC